CCUACGGGAGGCAGCAGUAAGGAAUAUUGGUCAAUGGGCGCAAGCCUGAACCAGCCAUGCCGCGUGCAGGAAGACGGCCCUAUGGGUUGUAAGCUGCUUUUAUCAGGGAAUAAACCCCCGCUCGAGAGCGGGGCUGAAGGUACCUGAGGAAUAAGCAUCGGCUAACUCCGUGCCAGCAGCCGCGGUAAUACGGAGGAUGCAAGCGUUAUCCGGAUUCAUUGGGUUUAAAGGGUGCGCAGGCGGAUUGGUAAGUCAGGGGUGAAAUCCCACAGCUCAACUGUGGAGCUGCCUUUGAUACUGUCAGUCUAGAGUAUAGUUGAAGUUGGCGGAAUGUGUCAUGUAGCGGUGAAAUGCUUAGAUAUGACACAGAACACCGAUCGCGAAGGCAGCUAGCUAAGCUAUAACUGACGCUCAUGCACGAAAGCGUGGGGAUCAAACAGGAUUAGAUACCCUGGUAGUCCACGCUGUAAACGAUGAUUACUCGAUGUUGGCGAUACACAGUCAGCGUCUGAGCGAAAGCAAUAAGUAAUCCACCUGGGGAGUACGAUCGCAAGAUUGAAACUCAAAUGAAUUGACGGGGA
rnacentral:rRNA from 1 species